UUUCUUAUAUCCUUGAGGCCCUCUGAAGUGUUACGCAGACCCUGUAAAAAGUUGGUCCUCCUCCUGUUUAUAAGAUACCUUCAAGUGCUAGAAGCCACAGUGAAGCAUUUUCUUCUCCUUGAGGUGGCUGCAUUUGAACAGCAGCACAGCUGGAACAUUAACUAACUAAAAGUGAAGUUAAUAACUGCAGACUUCCACACGAAGGUACAAUAUACAUCCUCAAGCCAGGGAAGCCCUACCGCAUCUGAGAAAGGCUGCCUUGCAGAAAUUCAGCUGCAACAACACAGACACAGGAAACAUCCUCAGCAAUUUCAGCUGAACACACAAUGCCAAACGACCACCCACCGAAGAGGGCAUUUGCCUCCCCUUUCUCACCCCUCAAGAUUACCGAGGGAAUGGCAUCAGCCAGGGAAGAAGCCCCCAGCACAGAAAAAGCAGGUGCCUCCUCUUUUAGUGUGGCCGCCCAUCUACCAGUUCAAUCCAGCACAGGUCAUGAGGUACGCUCUUGAACAUUUUGCCUUAGCCACAGAAGGAGGUACCUUCAUUUUUAUUUAUAUAAACAAAAAUGAAGUUGGCCAUGUUAGAGACCUC
ensembl:lncRNA